rnacentral:rRNA from 1 species
AGCAGUCGCCACGGGAAUACGAAGGGGGCUAGCGUUGUUCGGAUUUACUGGGCGUAAAGCGCACGUAGGCGGACUUUUAAGUCAGGGGUGAAAUCCCGGGGCUCAACCCCGGAACUGCCUUUGAUACUGGAAGUCUUGAGUAUGGUAGAGGUGAGUGGAAUUCCGAGUGUAGAGGUGAAAUUCGUAGAUAUUCGGAGGAACACCAGUGGCGAAGGCGGCUCACUGGACCAUUACUGACGCUGAGGUGCGAAAGCGUGGGGAGCAAACAGGAUUAGAUACCCCCGUAGUCCCUGUCUCUUAUAC